rnacentral:tRNA from 1 species
UGAAGUUUAGUUUAGUUAGAACAUUUAUUUUUGGUAUGAAAGGGGGUUUUGCUUCAUU